UCGGGAAUUUUGGGCAAUGGGCGAAAGCCUGACCCAGCAACGCCGCGUGAAGGAUGAAGUAUUUCGGUAUGUAAACUUCGAAAGAAUAGGAAGAAUAAAUGACGGUACUAUUUAUAAGGUCCGGCUAACUACGUGCCAGCAGCCGCGGUAAUACGUAGGGUGCGAGCGUUAAUCGGAAUUACUGGGCGUAAAGCGUGCGCAGGCGGCUUUGCAAGACAGAUGUGAAAUCCCCGGGCUCAACCUGGGAACUGCAUUUGUGACUGCAAGGCUAGAGUACGGUAGAGGGGGAUGGAAUUCCGCGUGUAGCAGUGAAAUGCGUAGAUAUGCGGAGGAACACCGAUGGCGAAGGCAAUCCCCUGGACCUGUACUGACGCUCAUGCACGAAAGCGUGGGGAGCAAACAGGAUUAGAUACCCUAGUAGUCCCUGAGCGGGCUGGCAAGGCGCAU
rnacentral:rRNA from 1 species